ACCUGACGUGGCCUGAAGAGACAGACAAUGGCUCUUGCUAGCUAAUUAUUGUCAGAUGGAUCGGCAGCCGACCAACGCUUCUGAAAUUAUUGUUUUUGGCAAAUGUUCCUCAACAUUUUCCUGGGAGCUAUGGUGCAUUACUCACGAGUGACAGAACCAACGAGCUUCAUCUCCCAAGAGGCUGGUGCAUCUGUUUAAAGGAGCAAGCGUUAUGCAGAGCCACCCCCACUCCACCCUCCAUGGCAGAGUGCAGUGGGGGAAGGGAUGGGAUUUCACCAUGUUGUCCAAGCUGGUUUUGAACUCCUGGGCUCAAGAAAUCCA
rnacentral:lncRNA from 1 species